CUUACGGGAGGCAGCAGUGGGGAAUAAUUCACAAUGGGCGUAAGCCACAGGCACCGACGCCGUUUGUGCGAGGACGGCCUGCGGGCAACAACAAGUCUUUCCAGGGAAGAAGGGAAAGGGACGGUACCUGCAGAAAAAGCUCCGCCUAAUUACGCG
rnacentral:rRNA from 1 species